AUAGCGGCGGUUAGACUGCCAGGUCCCCAUCUCUUGCUUUGUCACUGGGUCCCCUCUGUACCAGAGGCUGGGUCAGUUGGCCUUGCGUCAUUUGGAUGGUGGUAGUUGGACCGCUGGGUCUCCUUUAGUUGGAUAGCGGCAGUUGGACUGCCGGGUCGUCAUGCGUCAUUGCAACUGGGUCCCCUCUGUACCAGAGGCUGGGUCCAUUGAUAUUGUACUAUUUGGAUAGCGGCGGUUAGACUGCCAGGUCCCCAUCUCUUGCUUUGUCACUGGGUCCCCUCUGUACCAGAGGCGGGGUCAGUUGGCCUUGCGUCAUUUGGAUGGUGGUAGUUGGACCGCUGGGUCUCCUUUAGUUGGAUAGCGGCAGUUGGACUGCCGGGUCGUCAUGCGUCAUUGCAACUGGGUCCCCUCUGUACCAGAGGUUGGGCCCACUGGCGUUUUCCCCUCUCUUUUAGCCACACUAAGGCCUGUCUAGGUUGGUUAGUUCCCUGGGAUUCCUUGCAGUGGGGAACCCAUGAUUUGAAUCGGUUUGUCGUCGAGGCGCCGACACAAAAGGUGGGGGUAAAUGUGACAGAUUGGUCUACACCCCUCAAUCUGACGGAUUUUGGUCCUUUGUCUGUGAUUGGCUGGCCCAUUACUGGCAGGACUUUUAUGUUGAUAAAUGUAGUUUUUGGACGUGACGUGGGUCUCUUUCCACCCCGCUGUUGUUUUGCCGGCAAAGGACGCCGGCUGGCGUGUGAGCUGCUGCUAGCCGUGAUCAUUAUCCGGUAGAUUUGGUACCUUCAGCCAUUCUUGCGUGGAACUGCACUCUGCUGUGACUGGUGUUCACUGCGCGCUGCCUAUACUGCACCAGUGUGUUGCCCAUCAUCUGUGCCCUGUGGCAGGCCUGAUUCGUGGUGCUUACGCUGGCUUGGAGUGGCCACAGUGGUUGGCCCCUGGGUACCUGACUGCAGUCAGUGGAUGUGUGUGGUCCAAAUUGCGAUUGUUCCGAACCACGGAUCUAUGAUCAGGUUAGCGGUGCCUCUCUGACGCUGUAAGUAUUCAUUUCUUCCUCUUGAUUGUCGCUGUCACCGAUUACCUCUAGGCUAGUGAGUAAUGGGUACCUGUUUGUUAACUUACAGGGGGAUUGCUAGCUACACUCCUCGGAGGUUGCUGUUUUGUUGCCGUCACACUCUGCGCCGGUUCCGACUGGCUCCACCUGCUCGUCCUGUUUGUGUUUGGUUUAAUUAUUUUUAUUUUCUGGCCCAUUUCUUGGGGACGCC